CCAAUAGCGUAUAUUAAAGUUGUUGCAGUUAAAAAGCUCGUAGUUGAAUUUCGGGGUCAGUAGGUCGGUCGUUCCCCUGGUAUGAAAUGCUCUCACUGAUUCCUCCUUCUUGAAGAACCGUAAUGUCAUUAACUUGGUGUUGCGGGGAACCAGGACUGUUACCUUGACACAAUUAGAGUGUUUAAAGCAGGCCAGCGCCUGAAUACAUUAGCAUGGAAUAAUGAAAUAGGACGUUCGAUCCUAUUUUGUUGGUUUCUAGGUUUGACGUAAUGAUUAAUAGGGGUAGUUGGGGGCAUUAGUAUUAAAUUGUCAGAGGUGAAAUUCUUGGAUUUAUUGAAGACUAACUACUGCGAAAGCAUUUGCCAAGGAUGUUUUCAUUAAUCAAGAACGAAAGUUAGGGGAUCGAAGACGAUCAGAUACCGUCGUAGUCUUAACCAUAAACUAUGCCGACUAGGGAUCGGAUGAUGUUAAUUUUAUAAUGACUCAUUCGGCGCCUUACG
rnacentral:rRNA from 1 species